UACGUAGGGGGCAAGCGUUGUCCGGAAUCAUUGGGCGUAAAGAGCGUGUAGGCGGCUCGAUAAGUCUGCUGUGAAAGUCCAGGGCUCAACCCUGGAAGGCCGGUGGAAACUGUCGGGCUAGAGUUCGGAAGAGGCGAGUGGAAUUCCCGGUGUAGCGGUGAAAUGCGCAGAUAUCGGGAGGAACACCGGUGGCGAAGGCGGUUCUCUGGGCCUGUACUGACGCUGAGGAGCGAAAGCGUGGGGAGCGAACAGG
rnacentral:rRNA from 1 species